rnacentral:lncRNA from 1 species
UUUUUUCCAGACCAAGGGCUGUGAACCCGCCUGGGGAUGAGGCCUGGUCUUGUGGAACUGAACUUAGCUCGACGGGGCUGACCGCUCUGGCCCAGGGUGGUGGCAGUGCUCCUUUUGGACUUUUCUCUAGUGUUCCUCAUGGCGAGCAGAUGGAACCGGGAGACAUGGAGUCCCUGGCCAGUGUGAGUCCUAGCAUUGCAGGAGGGGAGACCCUGGAGGAGAGAGCCCGCCUCAAUUGAUGCCUGCAGAUUGAAUUUCCAGAGGCUUAGGAGGAGGAAGUUCUCCAAUGUUCUGUUUCCAGGCCUUGCUCAGGAAGCCCUGUAUUCAGGAGGCUACCAUUUAAAGUUUGCAGAUGAGCUUAUGGGGGGCAAUCUUAAAAAGUCCACAGCAGAUGCAUCCGGCUCGAGGGGCCAUCAGCUUUGAAUAAAUGCUUGUUCCAGAGCCCAUGAAUGCCAGCAGGCACCCCUCCUUUCCUGGGGUAAAGGUUUUCAGAUGCUGCAUCUUCUAAAUUGAGCCUCCGGUCAUACUAGUUUUGUGCUUGGAACCUUGCUUCAAGAAGAUCCCUAAGCUGU